GUUGAGGUGGCCGAGUGGGUAAGGCGAUGGACUAAAAAUGCAAUGCGAUCUUCCGCGCAGACUAAAGUCCUGCCCGCAACG
rnacentral:tRNA from 1 species